rnacentral:rRNA from 1 species
UCGGACUGUAGGCUGCAACUCGCCUACACGAAGCUGGAAUCGCUAGUAAUCGCGGAUCAGCACGCCGCGGUGAAUACGUUCCCGGGCCUUGUACACACCGCCCGUCACACCAUGAGAGUCUGUAACACCCAAAGCCGGUGGGAUAACCUUUAUAGGAGUCAGCCGUCUAAGGUAGGACAGAUGAUUAGGGUGAAGUCGUAACAAGGUAUC